rnacentral:rRNA from 1 species
AGAUUGAACGCUGGCGGCAUGCCUUACACAUGCAAGUCGAACGGCAGCACGGGAGCAAUCCUGGUGGCGAGUGGCGAACGGGUGAGUAAUACAUCGGAACGUGCCCAAUCGUGGGGGAUAACGCAGCGAAAGCUGUGCUAAUACCGCAUAAGAUCUACGGAUGAAAGCAGGGGAUCGCAAGACCUUGCGCGAAUGGAGCGGCCGAUGGCAGAUUAGGUAGUUGGUGAGGUAAAGGCUCACCAAGCCUUCGAUCUGUAGCUGGUCUGAGAGGACGACCAGCCACACGUGGGACUGAGACACGGCCCAGACUCCUACGGGAGCAGCAGUGGGGAAUUUUGGACAAGUGGGACGAAAGCC